UCAGAUGUUUUCAACCCAAACCAGAAAAGUGGAGAGGUUGCGAAAGUGCAAGGUCCGAGAUACUUCAGUCUGGGCUGUUGGAAAGACACCAGCGACCGAGCCAUCACCAUGUUAGAGAAGACAGACGAACGGCUAGACGGAGCUUACGCCUCCCGUGCUAACGCCAUAGAAAAGUGCUACCAGGUGGCCAAGUCUCGUGGGUUUUUCAUCUUUGCGGUCCAAAAUGGCGGCGAGUGUUUUGGCUCUGCUACUGCCCUGAGCACCUACCGGAAGCACGGACCCUCGUCGG